rnacentral:tRNA from 1 species
UGCAUCGGCCGGGAAUCGAACCCUGGCCGCCCGCGUGGCAGGCGAGCAUUCUACCACUAACCACCGAUGC